AUGCCACUGUGCCGCACACUAACCGGUAAGGCAGCGAUGGCAUCCCACCGCGCCGAGUUCCUCGCCGCCCACAACCGCACAGUAAAUGGUAGGGAAGUGAUGGCAUCCCGCCAUGCCGAGUUCAUCGCCGCUCGCGACCUCACAACUAUGUGGGAGGAAUUUGAAGAUGCCAAGGCCGAAUGGGCGGUAGAGCAAGAGGCGGCCAAAGUCGCACAGAGGAAGCGGAAAAGUCAGAAAUCACUCAAGAAAAGAGAGGCCCGCUGCCGCAAGAAAGAAAAGGACGCAUGCACUGCUGCGGAGAGGUCGGCGGAGAUCCAAGCACGGUGGGGUAUCGAUGACAAUGCCGGGAAGGAGAACGACGACGUCUGGCUAGCAUGUGAGAAGUAG
rnacentral:rRNA from 1 species